rnacentral:lncRNA from 1 species
UUAUAAUUAUGGAAAGAUGGGAUUCCAGCUGAAGAUGCUGCUUCUGUGGCCCAUCAGCUACCUUUCCAGCAACUACCAUCUGUAACAAAAGGAGAGAUUUUAUGGAAGAAGAUUUAAGAAGAACAUUAGUUUAGUUUCUAUGCACUGAAAAGCCUGUUAUCACAAAAUUAGACAGCCACGAAUGUAAGUGACAUUUUUUUCCCUUUUCUUUUCUGAUUACCAAGAGGAUCUCACCUAAGAUUAGAAAGUAUUUUGGUGCAUCACCUCUCACGGGAAUGUAAAAAAUAAAUUGAUAAAUUUAUGCACCACUGUGAAUUCUUCAUGACUGAGUUGUCAAUUGCUUCCUUCAGGCAAUGAGCCA